AUGAACGCUGGCGGCGUGCUUAACACAUGCAAGUCGAACGAAGCACUCUAUUUGAUUUCUUCGGAAUGAUUAUUUUGUGACUGAGUGGCGGACGGGUGAGUAACGCGUGGGUAACCUGCCUCAUACGAGGGGGAUAACAGUUGGAAACGACUGCUAAUACCGCAUAAGCGCACAGGACCGCAUGGUCUGGUGUGAAAAACUCCGGUGGUAUGAGAUGGACCCGCGUCUGAUUAGCUAGUUGGUGGGGUAACGGCCUACCAAGGCGACGAUCAGUAGCCGACCUGAGAGGGUGACCGGCCACAUUGGGACUGAGACACGGCCCAAACUCCUACGGGAGGCAGCAGUGGGGAAUAUUGCACAAUGGGCGAAAGCCUGAUGCAGCGACGCCGCGUGAGCGAAGAAGUAUUUCGGUAUGUAAAGCUCUAUCAGCAGGGAAGAAAAAUGACGGUACCUGACUAAGAAGCACCGGCUAAAUACGUG
rnacentral:rRNA from 1 species